rnacentral:rRNA from 1 species
CCUACGGGUGGCAGCAGUAGGGAAUAUUGCUCAAUGGGGGAAACCCUGAAGCAGCAACGCCGCGUGGAGGAUGAAGGUUCUCGGAUUGUAAACUCCUUUUGUUAGAGAAGAUAAUGACGGUAUCUAAAGAAUAAGCACCGGCUAACUCCGUGCCAGCAGCCGCGGUAAUACGGAGGGUGCAAGCGUUACUCGGAAUCACUGGGCGUAAAGAGCGCGUAGGCGGGAUAGCAAGUCAGAUGUGAAAUCCUAUGGCUUAACCAUAGAACUGCAUUUGAAACUGUUAUUCUAGAGUAUGGGAGAGGUAGGUGGAAUUCUUGGUGUAGGGGUGAAAUGCGUAGAGAUCAAGAGGAAUACUCAUUGCGAAGGCGACCUGCUAGAACAUAACUGACGCUGAUGCGCGAAAGCGUGGGGAGCAAACAGGAUUAGAUACCCGAGUAGUC